ACCUGAUGCAGCCAUGCCGCGUGUGUGAAGAAGGCCUUCGGGUUGUAAAGCACUUUCAGUUGUGAGGAAAAGUUAGUAGUUAAUACCUGCUAGCCGUGACGUUAACAACAGAAGAAGCACCGGCUAACUCCGUGCCAGCAGCCGCGGUAAUACGGAGGGUGCGAGCGUUAAUCGGAAUUACUGGGCGUAAAGCGCACGCAGGCGGUUUGUUAAGCUAGAUGUGAAAGCCCCGGGCUCAACCUGGGAUGGUCAUUUAGAACUGGCAGACUAGAGUCUUGGAGAGGGGAGUGGAAUUCCAGGUGUAGCGGUGAAAUGCGUAGAUAUCUGGAGGAACAUCAGUGGCGAAGGCGACUCCCUGGCCAAAGACUGACGCUCAUGUGCGAAAGUGUGGGUAGCGAACAGGAUUAGAUACCCUGGUAGUCCACACCGUAAACGCUGUCUACUAGCUGUUUGUGACUUUAAGUCGUGAGUAGCGAAGCUAACGCGCUAAGUAGACCGCCUGGGGAGUACGGCCGCAAGGUUAAAACUCAAAUG
rnacentral:rRNA from 1 species